GUGCUCGCUUCGGCAGCACAUAUACUAAAAUUAGAACGAUACAAAGAAGAUUAGCAUGGCCCCUGCACAAGGAUGACAUGCAAAUUCAUGAAGCGUUCCAUAUUUUU
rnacentral:snRNA from 1 species